CUUGCUUCUCUUGAGAGCGGCGGACGGGUGAGUAAUGCCUAGGAAUCUGCCUGGUAGUGGGGGAUAACGUCCGGAAACGGACGCUAAUACCGCAUACGUCCUACGGGAGAAAGCAGGGGACCUUCGGGCCUUGCGCUAUCAGAUGAGCCUAGGUCGGAUUAGCUAGUUGGUGGGGUAAUGGCUCACCAAGGCGACGAUCCGUAACUGGUCUGAGAGGAUGAUCAGUCACACUGGAACUGAGACACGGUCCAGACUCCUACGGGAGGCAGCAGUGGGGAAUAUUGGACAAUGGGCGAAAGCCUGAUCCAGCCAUGCCGCGUGUGUGAAGAAGGUCUUCGGAUUGUAUUGCACUUUAAUUUGGGAGGAAGGGCA
rnacentral:rRNA from 1 species